rnacentral:lncRNA from 1 species
AAACGAGCAGCAGUAUGAUGACCUAAAACGAAUGGACCCCGCAUCACCAUAUCAGGAUCUUAUUCCAAGUUCAGCAUCAAAUGAAUAUGAACAAAUCGAUAACUCAUAUGUAAAUCUAAGCGUACAAAUAUAGCAAUUGUUUGGUUUUUUUUUUCUUUUUCAAAACAACUGCAGAAUUAUGUAAAUAUUGUUUAUACCUAUUUUAAGAUAACACUGAUAUGCUUCCUGCCUUUACAUAUAAUUAAAAGGACAGUAAAG